rnacentral:rRNA from 1 species
AGCAGCCGCGGUAAUUCCAGCUCCAAUAGCGUAUAUUAAAGUUGUUGCAGUUAAAAAGCUCGUAGUUGAACUUCGGGGUUUACCCAUUGGUCAGGCUUAAUUGUCUGUACUGGUGAGAUAAAUCUCUACCUUCUGAGGAACUUUCAUGCCAUUAAUUUGGUGUGAUGGGAAAUCAGGACUGUUACUUUGAAAAAUUAGAGUGUUUAAAGCAGGCUAACGUCUGAAUACAUUAGCAUGGAAUAAUGAAAUAGGACGGAUUGAUUCUAUUUCGUUGGUUUCUAGGGUCACCGUAAUGAUUAAUAGGGAUAGUUGGGGGCAUUAGUAUUCAAUUGUCAGAGGUGAAAUUCUUGGAUUUAUUGAAGACUAACUACUGCGAAAGCAUUUGCCAAGGAUGUUUUCAUUA